rnacentral:lncRNA from 1 species
ACAUCUCUUGGAGUUCUAGCUCACCUUUCUGGUGUUGUUCUUGUACUCAUCUGUUUAAUCUAGUUCUAUCACUUCUUCUUGAACUUCUUGUUAGAUUUCAAGUCUGUAUUUUGUGUCCGUGACAGUUUGUUGAGACUACACUAACUUGAGAUAUCAGAGCUAGUUCUUUCUUAGUAGAGUGUGGAUUACCCCUCUACUUGAAGGUAUACUAGCAUUUUUUAGAGGUUGCAGAUUACCCUCCUCUAAACUGAUACUUCUUCUGUUACAAUAUUGGAGUCUUAUUCUUCUUGGAGAGAGUGGAUUACCCCUCUUCUUGAAAUUCUUAAGGCAUUUUAUAGGUUGUGGAUUACCCUCCUAUAAACCAAUAUUGCCUCUUAUAGGGUCAUUUUUGUCCUUGUUUUAGAAUGACCGGAGGUCAAGACAUUAGUAUGACAGAAAGUUCGGAGUCUAAGUUAGAUGCUAUUAUAAAUGCCCUCGCUACGUUAUCACAAAGAAUUGCAGAGAUUGAAGGAGUGGUGGCAAGGCUUCAUAAUGAUGGAGUAUCUGGGAUAGCACAAUCUAAACUGCACCAGCCUCAAACUUCUGCACUUGGAGAAACAACUUUACCUCAGGUUCGACAAGAACCACUAGUUCUACAACAUAAGGAGCCUCGAGUUAGCCUUCCAGAUAAGUUUGAUGGAACACGUUCCAAGUUUCGAGGAUUCGUCAAUCAAAUCAGGUUGAUAACAGUUUUACAGCCCGAACGAUAUCCAACGGAGGAGUCACGUGUUGGACUUGUUGGAACCUUACUUACGGGUCAAGUUCUAUCAUGGUUUGCUCCUUUAUUUGAGAAACGAUCAUCCAUAUUAAACAACUUCGAAACCUUUUUGGAAGCAUUUGCGGAAGCAUUUGGUGAACACGAUAAGGUUCGAUGGGCUACAACAAAGAUCCGGUCGCUACGACAGGGGAUGCGUUCUAUAUCAGUCUAUGCUUCGGAUUUCAGGCAAUUAGUAUGCGACAUCAAUUGGGAUGAAGAAGCGUUGAUGAGUCAAUUCUAUUGGGAUUUAAGAGAUGAUGUGAAGGAUUUGCUGUUAACUCUUCCUGAUCCAAGAACGCUCAAUGAAGCCAUUAGCCAAGCUGUGAAGUGCGAUAAUCGCCUAUUCCAACGUCGCCAAGACCAACGCUCAAGACAACAUACAAUUUGCCAUGCUCCAACUAUGUCGGCAAGCAGUAUAAAUUCGCAUUCAGAGGUAGAAGACAUGCAAAUUGAUGCUGUACGUAUCAAAUCUCUUACUAUAGAAGAAAAAAAGCGAUGUAUGGAAGAAAAUUUAUGCUUGUAUUGCGGUGGAGAAGGCCACAAAGUCGGAAACUGCCCCAAAAAACAAAAUCGAGGCAUAGUCAAGACUAGGGGAGUAUUUGUUCAGGAAAACGAGGAUGCCCAGCCACAAUAGGAAUCGUGCGGCUGGACAAUGAAAUAUCCCAACAACAAUCAGGUUCCUUUCUUUCUACCCAACCUGUCCUUUGUUUUACAAUCCCUCUGUUUAUCGGCCCUCAAAAACUGAGAACCUUAGCACUACUAGACUCAAGAGCAUCUGCUUGUUUUUUAGACGAAGAAUUUGCAAAGCGUCAUAAGAUCCCUUUAGUACAAAAAUCAAAACCUGUUCAUGUUGAGGUCAUAGAUGGGUGACCUUUAUUGUCUGGUAGCAUCACCCAUGAAUCAAAACCUAUAGAAGUAACGUUUAAAGACCAUAGUAGUCAUAUUAUUUUUAAUAUUAUUAGAACCCCAUCAAAUCCUAUUAUUCUUGGUCUUUCUUGGUUGGAAAAACAUAAUCCAUUGAUAGAUUGGAGGUUGCGGAAGAUGACUUUUCCCACAAAACCACCUAAGAAAAAACCUAGUAAAAAACCUCGAAAAAAGAAAUCCUUAUUCAUUGGAGCAAGAGCGUUUAUAAGAUCAUCUAAGGAAGGCACUCCAUUUGUCAUUUAUGCGGCUCCAACUACCGAGGAGAAGAUCUCAACAGUAAGUAUACCGGAGCGAUAUAAAGAUUUUGAAGACGUGUUUCAAAAGAAGAACGCCGACAUACUACCGGAACACCGACCAUAUGAUUGUGCCAUAGACUUGCAAGAAGGAGCACAACCACCUUUUGGCCCAAUCUACAAUCUAUCGCAAAUGGAGUUGGCAGAGUUACGAAAGUACAUCGACGAGAAUCUAGCCAAGAACUUCAUUCGUCAUUCAAAAUCAUCAGCUGGAGCACCCAUCUUAUUUGUGAAGAAGAAAGAUGGAUCAUUACGGAUGUGUGUGGACUAUCGAGGCCUCAACAAGGUAACAAAGAAAAAUCGUUACCCAUUACCCUUGAUUUCUAGUCUCUUAGAACAACUUGGACGUGCGAAGAUCUUUACAAAAAUUGAUCUAAGGGGAGCUUAUAAUCUCGUACGAAUCAAGGAAGGAGAUGAGUGGAAGACAGCAUUUCGUACAAGGUAUGGUCAUUUCGAAUAUAAUGUCAUGCCUUUUGGUCUUACCAAUGCUCCAGCGAUUUUUCAACAUAUGAUGAAUGACAUCUUUCGAGAACACCUCGACGAUUUUGUUGUCAUGUACUUGGACGAUAUUCUAAUAUUCUCUAAAAACGAGGAAGAGCAUGAGGAGCAUGUUCGUUUGGUCUUGGAGAAACUACGCAAGCGAGGACUAUAUGCCAAAUUAGAAAAGUGUUUAUUUCACCAGACGGAGAUGGAAUUUUGGGGUUCAUUGCGACUACAGAAGGUUUGAAGAUGGACCCCAAGAAAGUAGAAGUAAUCAUGUCUUGGGAGGUUCCGAAGACGGUUAGAGACGUACAAUGCUUUCUUGGUUUGCUAACUUCUAUCGGAUCUUCAUCAAGAAUUAUUCUCAAGUUGCUGCUCCUCUCACUCGAUUAACAUGCAAAGAUAAGUUGGAAUGGGGACCUUUGGUGGAGAAGGCGUUUCAAGAUUUGAAGACAGCAUUUACUACAGCUCCAAUUUUGGUACAUCCAAACUUUACAAAGGCCUUCUAUUUAGAAAUUGAUGCUUCAGAUUUUGCUUUGGAAGCUGUGCUUUCACAAAUGAGUGAAGAUAAGAAGCUCCAUCCAGUUGCAUUCUAUUCUCGGAAGUUCUCUGCUGCUGAAAUCAAUUAUGAGAUCCACAAUAAGGAACUUCUUGCUAUAGUGGAUUCUUUCGAAGAAUGGCGUCACUUUCUUGAAGGAGCUGCACAUCCAAUAACCGUAUAUACGGAUCACAAGAAUUUGGAGUAUUUCAUGACGGCUCGAGUUUUAAAUCGGCGUCAAGCUCGGUGGAAUAUGUCGCUAUCUAGAUUCGAUUUUGUUAUCACUUAUCGACCUGGAAGGCAGCAAGGACUAUCCGAUGCUUUAUCAAGGUGAUCGUAUCUUGCACCAAAGGUUGGAAAAGUAGCGUUUGAUCAACAAUGUACAACGUUAUUGAAGCCAGAGAGAUUUCAACUUUGUGCUACUAUUGUAUCAUUUGAUGCUGACUUCCUAAACUAGGUACGUGCUAUGACCAUUAAAGAUUCAGUAGCCAUUGAUAUCAAGCAACGUACUAAUGACGACAAGUUCAAGGUGGAGAGAGAUCUUUUAUACUUUGAAGAGCGAUUGUACAUUCCAAAAGGACUAGCACGACUCCGAGUUCUUCAAUCUCGCCAUGAUUUUCCACCUGCGGGACAUUUUGGAUUCAAUAAGACCUUGGAGCUUAUUUCCCGAGAUUUUUGGUGGCCCCAAAUGUGGAAGGAUGUGAAAGAUUUUGUCCUCUCUUGUGACAUUUGUUCAAGAUCUAAGAAUCCUCGGCAUCGCCCUUUUGGACUUCUACAGCCAUUGCCAAUUCCACGUCGACCAUGGUCUUCAAUUUCUAUGGACUUCAUCACGGACUUGCCAUCAUCAAAUUCAUUUGACACCAUCUUUGUCGUGGUAGAUCGGCUUACGAAGAUGGCACACUUUGUUCCUUGUAAGAAGACUUCAUCUAGUGAAGUCACAGCAAGACUCUUUCUCGAUAAUGUGUAUCGAUAUCAUGGACUACCACAUGAUAUCAUAUCAGAUCGAGGUACCCAAUUCGUGUCAAAGUUUUGGAGAUCUUUCUUUGGGAUAUUGAAGGUGGAUAUCAAGCUUUCUUCAGCUUUUCAUCCUCAAACUGAUGGCCAAACAGAACGGGUGAACUAAGUCUUGGAGCAGUACUUACGAUGCAGCAUCAACUAUCAGCAAGACGAUUGGACUGCAUAUCUAUCACUAGCCGAGUUUGCAUAUAACAACACCCUCCAUGCGUCGAUUCAACAAACACCAUUCUUUUCCAACUAUGGGUAUCAUCCGAAGCUUGAUUUAUUGAGUCCGUCAACAAAUUUCAAUCCAGCAGCUGAAGGAUUUGUGAAGCAACUAUCAGAGCUUCAAACUAUGUUGAAGCUUCAAUUACAAUCCGCUCAAGAAUCCUAUAAGAUGUCUGCAGAUAGAUUUCGGAAUCCAACACCUACUUUCAAAGUUGGAGACAAAGCCUGGCUUCUUCGACGAAAUAUCAAGACCAAGCGACCAUGUGAUAAGUUGGACUAUCGAAGAUUGGGACCAUUUAUCAUCCAGAAGCAAAUUAAUCCAGUGGCAUACCGGCUGGAGUUACCGGCUUCUAUGAAGGUACAUCCAGUCUUUCAUGUUUCUCUGUUGGAACCUUAUCGAGAGUCAUCUUUUCCUGGAAGAGUGCAAUGUCCGCCACCUAGUAUUGAAAUCGAGAACCACGAAGAAUACGAGGUUGAAAAGGUAUUGGAUUCACGGCGAAGGUGGGGAAAGUUAGAAUAUCUUGUUCAUUGGUGUGGCUAUGACAUUAAUGAGCGAACAUGGGAGCCAGCUGAAAAUCUUGCGAAUGCGCCACAAAAGGUACAGGAGUUUCAUCAACGACAUCCCGAUAAACCUAAAUCAAUUCGAUGAUAGCUUCUUUCUGAAGCUUGUUCUCCCAACAAUAUAAGAAAAAGGGAGAGCACCAGCAAAAUUCAUAGUUGAUGUAGUUAUUUUCUCCAAGAUAGAUCGUAGUUUGGUCUUUUGAUAUGGAUAGCCAAGAGAUAGAUACUAUGCCAGUCAGAGUAUCGCAACCGAGUAGCUCACGAAGGCGACCCCGAGAUGAAGAACUACAUGUACCACGACGACGACGGAGGAUACCGAGUAAUCGAUCACUGGUGAUCGUAUUUGAGAUCGAGCCUACUUACGAUGGUCAACCAGAAGGCGUGUUUGCAGGACAAUUUCACAAUGAGGACACGGAAGUUCAUGCUUGGUCAGAAGUCGAAGGCGUGGGCCACUACCGUUGGCUUCAAGGGUCGAUGAAUCACUUACCUCGUGAACAACAGUUGGAGUUCAUAGCAAAAGUUAUGCGACAGAUCUUCAUUUUCUUGCGUUGGUACUGAUCAACAACAUUGCUUCUCAGAGACCUCGAAGCUAAAGGACGGGAUGAUGUUAGGGACAUAUUCCUUAGAACUUUCUAGAGAGAGGUUUCUAGAACCUUCUAGAAAACAAGCCUCUGGAACCUUCUAGAAGAGAAGCCUCUGGAACCUUUUAGAGAGAAGUUUCUAGAAGCUUCUAGAAAGGAAGUCUCUGGAACCUUCUAGAAGAGAAGUUUCUAGAAGCUUCUAGAAAGGAAUCUCCUAGAACUUUCUAGAAGCUUCCUAGUUAAUAAAAGUAGCUCGAGAAGUUUCUAGAAGCUUCUAGAAAGGAAUCUCCUAGAACUUUCUAGAAGCUUCCUAGUUAAUAAAAGUAGCUCGAGAAGUUUCUAGAACCUUCUAGAAAGGAAGCCUCUGGAACCUUCUAGAAGCUUCCUAGUUAAUAGAAGUAGCUCGAGAAGCUUCCUAAGUAGGAGUAUAUAUAGGGAUCGAGGCUGAAGAGUUCUUCAGUCUCGACAACACAUCUCUUGGAGUUCUAGCUCACCUUUCUGGUGUUGUUCUUGUACUCAUAUGUUUAAUCUAGUUCUACCACUUCUUCUUGAAUUUCUUGUUAGAUUUCAAGUCUGUAUUUUGUGUCCGUGACAGUUACACCACAUACUAAAAAGAUCUAUAGUGAGUUUUUAAACCUCUCUCACAAAUGACUACUCAUCCUACAUUAGUAAGUAAGUUAGAAGGAAUUGAGGAUUCAAGGAUGAUAGUAGAAAAAUCCAUGGGCAUUGUUCUUGGUGCAACAAGAAGUCAUGAUGAAGGAGAAGGGGAGAGCAACCAUACAAUAAGCUUCACCUUAUACUAAUGUAGCCCUUUAUAUAGGCACUAUGACAAACUAUAAUAUGGUU